CACAGACUGUGAGAUCAUGACCUGAGCCGAAGCCGGACGCUCCUCCGACUGAGCCCCCAGGCGCCCCCAACUGGAUCUGUUUCGACAGAGGCAUGAACUUAUGGAGCCAUCACCACGUUCAGGAUCGCUCAGCUCGCACCCUCCGCCUCACGCUGCCCCCCACACACACAGAGCACCUGCCAACCCACGAGCUGUCCGUUGCCACAGCCCAUUGACCAGUCCUUGACACACGCAGAGUGACCUUCCUCCAGGAGCUCGGCAGCCUCAGUACUAAUACUUUGCCAGAGGCAAAACGCAACCUUAGCACGACAGGAGCUCCGCCUCCAGGAUCCCGUAAGUUCCUGAUCAUGUAAAAAUCUCUGGAAACUUCCUUUAUCUCUCCCCCCGCCCCCAAGAUAUGUUAGCAAUCAUCGUCCAAAUUUACAGCUCCCCAUUGUACACCUGAGGGGUCGCAUGCCUAACACUUCACUAGACAACAGUAAGGACCUUCACAGCCGCUGGCCUCCUCAAGGCCCGGAAACCUUGCUUCCAAAAUUCCUCGGAGACUUAGGCUGUCCCGGACCCCCUUCCAGCCUGGAGCUGUGUGAUCAGCCACCUGCCAUGGCCGCGGGCCGCUCUUCCUGCCCGCAGUCCGGUCCCCGCGCUUUGGGAACACCGCCUGUUGGCGCUGAAGAAAGACAUCUGGAGAAUUCUUUCUCCACUGUCGACUGUCAGCUCGACUGUCAGCUCGGCUCGAACCCCACCGCUUCGAACCACGGCAGUUACUGCGCAUGCGCGUUCUGAUCAGGCCUCGGCUGGGAGUUCGCAGCUCUCUCUGGUACUCUGGCCUCAAACCUCUCGCCACCACGGGCACCCCAAAUUCUGAACUCUGCCCUUCAAGUCAGGGUUACUGCCUCGCUUUAUUGGGCUCCUCGUCCCUCUCCUGCAGCCUGGAAAAUUCCUCCGGAGGAGCCUGGGCUGACUGUGGAGCUCCCUGGGUUGUUUUGGUCUUUCAGGGAUCACUGUUCCCCGCUCCCCGAAAGCUGGGUUCGUAUUCUGCCCAGUUCUUUCGACACAGCAGACCCUGGAGCCCUAAGUGGAAGUCGGUAUUAUUCAUUUUAGUCUGCGGUAAGCUAGGCAGACCCGUUGUGAUUUCUUGUGAGUUGACUAAAAAAAGCAGAGUAACUUUUAUUUUUAAAAAUUUAUUGAUUGACAACUUUUAAACUAAUGUAUGUGCUGAUAAAACGAAUGAUGAGGAACAAUCAAUUCAAAAAAAAGACACAAAAGGAAGGAACAAAUAUAUCAAUGAUUUUUAUUCAAUGAUAAUGUACAGAAUAUUCCAGUUAACAAAGAUUUUAUUUUUUGAAUAAAAUCAAUGCAACACAUCUGUAUGCUGUUUAUGUGAGACACAACUACAUGAUAAGGACACAAAGAAAGGCUAAAAAUAAAAAGAGUGGAUAAAAGGCA